rnacentral:lncRNA from 1 species
GACAAAAUGGCCACUCCAGCCUGUGUAUCAUGGCUAAUUAAGAUGACUGAGAGCACUGGCUGUUCUGUCUUGAUUAGACCCUGAGGAAGAUAUAGUCUUUGAGGGAUUUUAUUAUCCCACAAUGUAAGAAAGCUCUCCAGAGAUUUUACCUCUGUCUCCCAGGAAAGAAACAAACAAGCAUUAUGAGGCUGGGCAGGACAUCCAAGAGUCUGGGCUUAGAUGCUUAUCAGGGGAACCAGCCCCCAAUAUUUCAAGGUCGUCAUGGCUGCCUCACUGUGCUCAGCAACUACAGGCAGAGUCCACCCCAUAUGAUCACUUUCUCAGUCUUCAUUAUCUGCCUGCAGGGCUCCUGCCAGUCAAAGUCAUUAUGCAGAAUUCCAGAUACUCAAGGUUGGAGAGCUACUAACCCAGUACAUGAAUUCCCAGUGUAUCUUUCAGUGUUCUGAACCUGUAUUUUACAUUUUCAGAAAAGUUGACCACAGAAGCAUGUUUAUAUUGUAUUAAAACAAACUAUUUUUCUGGAAAGUUUUCCCAUUAAGCGUCUAACCUCCAAGCAUCGAAUCCCAGGCCAAUUUGUUUCAAAGUACCAACCUGGAGAAAAUGCCCUGGAUUUGGAAGCAAAGUAUUGAAUGUUGGAAGUCUGAAUAAAGGAAUCAUACACUGUAUGUGCACCUGAAUGUACUUUACAAGCAUCAGUAGAACACUUCUGAUUGAAGCUUGGUCUUAUGAAGAUAAAAAUUUUAUGUGGACCACAGAUUCUCUAAAAAUCAAACUCCAAGUAGGAUCAACACAAAGACACCCACAUUCAGGUACAUCUUGUCAAAUGUGGAAAGGCAAGAAUGAAAUGAAAUGUUGACAGCAAGAGAAAAACAUCCCUUUAUAUACAGAGGAACCCCAGCAACAGUAACAGCUGAAUUCUUGUCAAAAGCAAUGGAGACCAGGGCUGGGAGUGGUGGCUUGCACCUGUAAUCCUAGCACUUCGGGAGGCCAAGGCAGGUGGA